rnacentral:lncRNA from 1 species
UAUACUAAACGAAAAUAAGGAACAAAAACACUUGAAAAUAUAUCUAAACUAAAAGUGAAUGGUCCAAUGUUUCUUCAGUUGAGCUAGUAAAGUGCACAGUAAAUCCCCUGCCACCAAACACACGGCGCAUAAAUGCAUUGUCCAAUUUUCUCCAGUAAUAAUGGACCGAGUUGUAUGGGGAGCAUAGAAACAAGACUAAACGCGAAAUGUUUCGAGAGCUUAUCCGAUCGUCUUCUUCCAAAUCUUGUAUAGUAUAAUUGCUGAGAAAGGGCAGUAUAUUAAUUGUAGAGCUUGAAGGGCUACGAGGUUCCGAAGAAUGUGUAUUGUUUUCAAAGUCUGACAGAGGGAGCGUAAGCCUUAUAAGAUACGUCGUUAACGAUCCAAAAUCCUUAACAAUAAACCAACUGGUCAUACAAAUUACUCAAAUCAAUGUCUUUUUAUAUAUAGACAUGAUAAUAAUAUGUUCUUACCACUGUACUGAACAUGACUACAGUGAUUGUGCAUGUAAUCAUGAUUACAUUUGCUUGCUGCUUAUUAUCGUCGCCAGAUUUUCCAAACUGCAAAUAAUUGUUCAAUGUAAGAAACAUGAAAUCUAAUGUACAAUGUGGUUAGGUUCAACCGAUUAAAAAAAAAAUGAAAAUUGCAAUAUUAAUACUGUCGGAACCAGCCAAAUUCUAUUAAUUUAACGAAAUAAGUUUUAGGAUGUUGCGUUCAAGUCGGGACCGAGAAGAUUCUACUGUACUUCUCUUAUUAUACGUGAUUAUAAGAGAGAGCCAUGGGAACAACACCUCGCAUUAGACAAGACCAGAAAAUUGCGAACUGUACGAUAGUCAUAAUAAUUGUUCAACAUUUAUUGCAACCGAACGAAAGAAAAAGAGAUGAUAAUAAUAAUAGUCUUGAAAAGUUAACCUAUUGCUUGAGGCUGAGUUUGUCAUGCUCAGACUUGGUUAGUAAGUUGGACAAAAAGGAUAAAGGGAAAACGAAUGAUGCUCUCCCGAGCAUAACUAGGCUUAGCAUCAAUGAACUUGUUCCAACAGGGCUUCAAGGGCUAGAAAAGUAAAUCGACAAACGGAAAUUUUACAAAUUAAAUAAGUUUUUUCAAUGUUUGAAGUCAAAGUAAGAUUAAUAGAGCAAGUUUACAACUUCUUUUACCUUUUGCUCACAACUUUCCAUUUUUCAAUGUCUAAUGCAUCCAUACCUAGAUAGAUGUAGAUAACUCUCUCGGCAAUAACCGACAUCGUUGCAAAAGCAUGCCUGUUACAAAUAAAUAAUAAAUAAAUAAACAAAUAAGUACCAAAAUUUUAUGGGACUUUUUUGAAAUUGAAUACUUACAUGGCGGUAACUCUAGAAAGUGUAUUCACAUUAUACAAUAUGUAGUGUGACAUAACAAUUCCAUAAAUGAACACUGUGAGAAUUCCGCCAAACUCGAAGAGCUGCAAUAUGUAAAUAUAUAAGGGUAAGCCAUGAUGAUGAUAACAAAGAAGUAACAUAAAAUAGAAAUUGAGCGAAGAGGUAAAAGGAAAACGGACCUCACCAAAAUAUAAGAAAGGUAAGCCAUGAGAAUCAUGAGAGCCAACAAGUGAUAAGCUGAAUCUCUGGAAAUAAAUUUUAGAUGUUAGUAAUGUACUGAUACCAUAACCAUGUCCCAUAACAAAAUCAAAGUAGUCCAAAACUUGCAUAUAUACCUUCGAAAGUUCAACUUUUUAAUAAUGUAGGCACUAAGCUAUCCAAUCUGCAUUUUGAUUUUUCACGAUUAGAAACCAAAUUAUUAGACAAUGUGUUGUGCAAUCAAAUAUUUGGAUUAACUGAAAAUUCCAUAUACAACUGUUUAAGAGAGAGAGAGAGAGAGAGAGAGGGGUUAAGUUAAAACUCACGGUAACGCCCAACUGAGUGCUGGCUGUAAAUAAGUAAAAGAAAUGUCCAAGAACUUGAAGAAAAUCAUAGCGUUAAUAUCUGAGAGGUCGAACUUUUGAAUUGCGUUAAAGAGGACAACAUAUGUCGCAUCAUUCACCACUCCUUCCCCAAAAACUAGACUGUACAAUAACGGCAACUCGUCCUGAUUAAGAACCUCCAUGCCCAAAAUAAUUAAAUCACAUACCAAGUUAGUAUGGGUGCCACCUUUUUCGUUUGGAGUUUUUUAAAGAAAAACAAAGUGGUUACAAAUUUAUACAGACCUGCAAGGUGCAUAUAGAAUCCGUAGCUGAAAAGAUGGCUCCAAUUGCUGCAUAAAAAACGAAGGCUCCAGUUGGAAACGUAUCACUCAAGAAGACGUUUCAUUAGUUCGACAUAUAUAUACAGCAGGAGAGAGAGAGAGAGAGAGAGAGAGAGAGAGAGAGAGAGAGAGAGAGAGAGAGAGAGAGAGAGAGAGAGAGAGAGAGAGAGAGAGAGAGAGAGAGAGAGAGAGAGAGAGAGAGAGAUAUCGACUAACAAAAAAUUAAUUACAAGAUAAAUGCAUGCAUAUACGAUGAAAUAUCAUAUACAAGAUGAAUAUGUAGUGAAGAGGAUGAAGUGACCAAGAUAAUCAUUAAGGUCAAAAUUGCCUAUUCCCAAUGUCUCGAAAUAAAGUUUCGAACCUGAAAAAGUUAAAUAGUUAGUGCUAUGCGAAAUCACAAACCAUAAAAUAUAUAAUAUAUAGACAUGUGCACAAAAAUAAGUUAUAAGUAGGAAAUCAUGCAAACACAACCUCUUCUCAACCAUCAAAGCUUUACGGAUGCGUAAACUCAAAAUACCGAUAAAUUUUAUCGUAAACUGACUGGGAAAAUGUACUUUCAUGUGAUCAAAUUUUACAAUCGAUGAAAAUAAAAUUCCUUACAACUUUGAUUUCUAAACAAUAUAUGAAAAUAAAAUUCCUUACAACUUCGUAAGAUUUACAUUAUAUGUGCGUAUAAUAGAGUGGGAUGCGAAUUGAAAUAACUAAUACCAAAUGAUGUGAUGAAGAAAGAUAUGAGUGUCCCAAAAGCGCCAAACAACAUAAUAUUCAUGAGGUUCUUAAAAAAAUGCUCUUUCUUCACCUGCAACCUUCAGUCCAAAGUACAAUAUAAUUAUCACAUUCCAAUUUCACAACAAUUAUAACAUCUACAUACAUAUUAUGACUCACCCAGCAUUAAAUAUAACAGGGGGCAAGAAAUAUGUAAAAAAGAGCUCUACAUCGAAUACAAGUAUGUUCGAGCUCUUUCCACCCGUAAGCACCAGUAGAGUGAUUCCAGUACCCAAACCCUAAAAUAUCAUCCAUCAAAGCUAAUAAUCAAUAUAAACGCAAAAUAUCAUCAUUUUAACUACUAAAAGAAAACAAACAAAAAAACAAGGUGGGAUCGGAACGCAUGAAAAGAAAUAGCAAUAAUAGGUCCGUUAAUCCAUCGGAAUCCUUUGAGUUGAUGACGGGUAAUAAUACAAGCACAUAGGAGAAUGAUAAACAUCGCCAAGUUAUCAACGGGAUCCUGAGCAGAAUCGGGUUUCGAUUCUCCGAUUCUCAUCAACCAAGAAACCACACCGCUACCCAUCCGCUCCAUUCAACCUUCCUGUGUUUUUUUCAUCUUCUUUUCUUUGGAUUUUUUUUCCAAAGAGAAGAAGAGAAAAAACGAUUUUCAUGCAAAUUAAAAUUAACUUAUAUUCUUAUUAAGGAGUCUAACUAGUUCAAGAUACUUUAGUAUUACUAAGACUCUAACAAGUUUAACAUACUUUAAUACUACUAGGACUAUUAUGAAUUUCAUAUACAUACAACUCCAGUUCAUUUAUAUGUCUCACUUUUUAGAGAGAAAAUAAAAGAUUAUAUUUCAUCUAAACUUAUUUAUAUGUGAUUGUUUUUUCCAACGGCAGAUGAUUAAUUGAUUUUGUUGGUUAAAGUGUAAUCUUUUACUAAAAUUUCGUAACUAUUCAUUUUUUUUCUUAUUUAAAUUUGGAUAAUUAAUUUUUUUAUUGAUUUGACUUUGUUUCAAUUAUGAAUUGACAUAAAAAAAUAUAUAUUUUGAAUAGUAAAAAUCUAUAAAAUCAUAAGAAAUCAUGUCAAAUUAAUUUUUAUAAGAUUCAAAUUGAAAUGUUAAAAACUCAAAAUGAAUCGAUAAAUCAAAUAGUAAAUGAUCAUAAGAGUUAGCAACUAUGACAAAAAUAACAAUUAAAACCCAUGACAAAGGCACUUAAUUAAAAAAUGGACAUUCAAUUUUUUUGUCUUUCAAAUAUUUCCAGCUCAUUCAAACUUAUUUGCAAAUAAGGAAAACCCUUGUAUUUAUACCAAAAUUACUCCAAAUUCCUUGAAACCCAAUUCAACUUAUAUUUCAUGAUUUAUACCCUAAUUUAAACCAAUUUCACCAAUUAACCAAUUUUGACCCUAAUUUCAAUUUUGACCCGUCAACACCGGAGACCGUCGGUCAACGGCGUCGACUUCCUUUUUUUUUUUGAAUUUUUUUUUCUACUAGGUCAACCGCCGUUGACUGUCAGGUGUCCGUUUUUGACUUUUUUUUUUUCGUAAAAAGAAUAUUUAAAUUAAUAUUACUGUCUUGGCUGCUAAAUUAGUCUUGGCUACUAAAUUACUGUCUCCUGCAGUUAUUUAACUUUCGGGAGACCGGCGGUCAUCGGUAGUUGAUCGGCCGGAAAAAAAAAUUCAAAAAAAAAAAGUUAAAAAAGAGAAGAAAGUCAACGUGGAGAACCGCCUCGGUCAAUGCCAGAAUCUGGCCGGAAAAAAAAUAUUAUUUUCUAACAUUUUUUUUGUUCAAAAAAUUAGUAAAAUGGGGGUUAAUGUAAUAUAUUUGUUUAAAUUCGGGGUCAAUGUGUGAUAUUGAGGAAGUUAAUAAUGGAUGAUUGAUAAAAAAAUAUAUUAUGGAAGGUAUUUUAGACUAAAGACAGGGGUAUGAGUUUAUUUGAAAUACCCUUUUUUUUUAUGGACCAAUGUGCAUUUAAGUCCCUUGUCUUGCCCUUAAUAUUAAUUUGGAACUAGUUGAUUUUAAGAUUAACAUGUCAUAUUGAUUUAAGGGAAUAUGAGAUAUAACCCACUCAUUAGGUAAAAUAAUAGACCGUGAGACCAAUUUACAAUUGACCCUUUAUAAACAAAUCCAUAUAAUAGUUUCUGAAUUGUGUGACCUCUUAUGUUAAUCCCCAUAUGCCAUUUUUUGUCCAUAUUUUUAUCAUUUCUCCCUCUUCACCUAUUUCUCUCUUAUCUGUCAUUUUAUAUUUUUCAUUCAUUUCUCUCUCUUCAUUUUUCCCUUACUUUGACUGUGUUUUUAUUCUUCUUCUCCCUCUCUUCUCUCUCCCCUCUCUCUCUCUUCUCUCUCUUCCCCAUUUUCUCUCUUCUCGUCUUUGUUUCUUUUUUAUUUUUUUCUCACUUCUUUGCCUUUUCUUCUCAUCUCAUUUUUUCGUUGAAAUCAAUCUAUUUCUACCAUAGGGAAUGUCAUGUUUUCGCAGGAUAUGAUAUUUAUUAUAGUUAGUAUUCCAUUUAAAAACACCAUAGUUUCUUAAAUAUAAAAAUAAUAUAGUGAAUUAAAAAAAAAAAUUAUAGUUGACUACCAAUUUUUUAUAGUUGACAUCGGAAAAGUUAUAGUUGACUAUCUAAUUUUUAUACCAGACUAUGGCAACAUUAUAGUUAACUACCAAUUUUUUUUAUAAUUGGCAUCGAAAAAAUUAUAGUUGACUUUGGAACAAUAUAGUGAACUACCCGUUACUUAUAGUAGACUCUGGGUGUAGAAGACUACAAUAUUUUAUGCUUUUUGCCACAACAAUGAUCCCCUCUUUGUUGUGGACUCUGAUAAAAAAAAUUCAUGGGAAACAAAUAUUUACGAGUCAAUAAAUAAUGCGACCAUGGAUUUGUAGAUCUAAAAAAACAACCUUGUUUACAAACUCCAUUAUUGAGUAAUCAACCAUGGAAGAAUUUCGAACCGUCGCAUAUGGUCGCCGCAAACCACCAUUCUUUGAUUUCCUUGCACACAACCACUCACGGUCGUGCUGCACAUAACCGCCUUUCGCCGCCACGCCGUGAACAAUAGCCCAUCGCCGCCGGUGCACACCGCUGGCCCAUCCGCCGUUGCCGAACAAAGCAAACUGUUUUUCGUUGAAAAGAUGAAAGAGAAAGUUGGAGAGAGGGGAGAUAGAGAAGAAGAUAAGAAAAUAGAGAGAGCGUGUUUUUAGGAAGAGGUAGAUAAGAAGAUUUGUUCAAGCGAGAUUUUUGGAAGAUCUUCAGCGUAAUUGGGGUAGUUUAUGAAGAUAGUUAACUUCUAUGAAUGUGUUUGUCUCUCGUAAGAUUUGAGGGGGCGGGGAUGGGGGUUGUCUAAUACAAAAUAUGAAGGUACACAUGGUAAAUCACCAAUAGAGGGGUUUGCCUUGUUAAAAUUAAAUGGGAGUGGUUAAUCUUAAUAUAUUUUUCUUAGUGAUGGGUUUAUAUCUAAUUAACCCUUGAUUUAAUUAUGGGCAGUCUAAUGUAAACUUUAAUUUCGAUAAAUAUAUCAACCAAUUUUGAUUUUAAAUAAAUAUUGUAGUUAUAUUGUAUACGUAGAUAGAGAUCAUUAAAAUGAAUGUUAUCCUAUGAGUAACUUCGAUAGCAAAUAUAAAACAUAAAUUGAGUAUCAAUAACUCCUUCGACAUUUGGGAUAAUAUUUUGACACCUAUUUAAAAUUCAUGUACUCCGACCAUAGUUAUCAAAUCAAUUUCAAUUGAAAGAGUUUAUUGAUAGUUAUCUAUGUACGAUGUAAAAUUUUAAUUCCACACCUAAUUGCUUGCCAUUUGACAAUUUUAAUUGUUGUGAGAUUUGAGCGGCUAGGGUUUUGUGUAAUGUGUUGUAUGUUGUGCAAGACCUAUAAAUCAUAUAUUUAUAGUGUCUUGUAUAAAAGCCCUAACGGGCUUUAGUUGGACCUGUUAGAGUAGGUGACCAAAAGGCCAACCUGUGGCUGUGGUCUUUCGUAUUUAUUAUUGUAAUAAACGAACCUUUAUUCGUAUUAAUGAUAAAACACAUUGGCAUUCUAUAUCUUUGUCCCUUUGUCACAAGCAUAGAUAUAGUCCUUACAGUUAUUACAAGUACUAGUAAUUGAUCGUUAGGAUCGUGAGAUAUUUACUUAAGUAUUAUAACUGUUAAACGUGUUCCUAGUCGAAGGGUUACGCCACUAAUGAGGAUAUCGGCCUUUCCCAUUAAGACUAGCACUUAGUGUAUGUGUACUGCAUCUCAUCAGUAAACGGUAUUGUGAUAUCGGCAUGCAUAAGUGGGUGCUCGUAAGUUGACGAGUUCACUGAACUCCCUCACCCUAGAAAUCUCUAAGUGGUUCCCAAUAAUCGAGUAGAGGUAUCUAUGGUAUAGUUGUACACCAUUAGUCCUUAUGACCUAGACAUCACCGUGACUUCACUAGAGGACCAGCUGUAUCGUGACCUGUCCCUGAGUUCCACCGAGGACCAUCCCAAGGGCCAGUGUUCGUGCAGUCCGAAAUCUAGUGGGAGGUCUGUGCAUUGUAGUCGGGGAUUCGAUCGCUAGAAUAGUCUUGGAUGUCCUGUGUGUUCUGAAAGUUUGUAAUCAUUCUAAGUCUCUGGCCAGAGCUGACUAAGUGAUGAUUAGAGAAUUCGAUUCUCUAAGUCAUGCACAUGACGAUUACAACACUUGGAACGAUCGCACCGUCAUCGAACAUAUAAAGAGGUCUCGAUGAACCAAUGCCUCUAGUUCGAUCGGGACAUAUGCAUCGAAGGGACCGUACUGUACGUUAACUAUAUCUGAAGGUUCUUGCAGGCACUUCAUUUGUAUCUAGGGAAUCAUGACACGUAGUUGCUAGACGCCAAUCUUGAUUCGUUGGGUGAUUAAGGUGAAACGAGCUUCAUCUUAAUCGUAACUCGAAGGGGACGAGUUUUGACCACAAAGGGUUGUGGGCCAACGGCUAGCUUACACCUGAACCAUCGAGGGUCACACUGCUCGUGCACAUGAGAUCUUUGAAUAAACGGUCAGAGAUAAAAUAGUUUAUCUUUGCAUGAUUGGAAGUCAAUAUGAUUGAGUCCAACAUUCGUAAUUUGGACUUAUGAAUGAGAAUAAGAAAAAGGAAAAGAAUAGGCGAAAGUGUUAGUGAAACUUUCUAAAUCGGGAAGUUUCCAAAUUUAGAAAGUGCACUGAACUAGGGUUUCCACUUUUGGAAAGUUGGAAAAAGAAAGAUGGCACUCGUAAUGACGAGGAAAUUAUAAUGAUUCCGAAAAUGUAAUCGUUGCAAUUUUUCGGUCAUUGAAUUAAGAGAGACGAGCAAGUGAAAGUACUAACGGACUUAAGCUGUUGGGCCUGGUCCAACUUAAGCCCGCUAGGGUUUUAUGCAAGGGACUAUAAAUACAUGAUUUAUAGGCCUUGCACAACACACACAAAAACCUAACCCUAAGCGGCCGACCCCUCUCUCUCUCGGCCUCUCUUUCCGCGGCCACCACCGCGCCGCCGUCGCCCCUCCGUCGCCGGAAUCGGCCGUCCAUCGGUCGUUUCCUUUCGGUAUUGUUUUUCCUUCUCUUUUUCUUCCGUUUUAUUCUAACUACUUCGUGUCUAGUGCCACGUUGUAGUAGAUCGAAGUAUACGAGGUGAAAUCCGAGAGGAGGAAGACUGUAGAUCGAAGAAUCGAGGAGCAACGCACGAGCCGAAGCCGCACGCUGCCCCACGCGCCGCCCCGCAAGUUUGCGCGUGAACCUCACGCGCCGCCGUGGCCUCACGCGCCGCUGCUGCCGCUGCACCGCUGCUGCCCCGAUUGUACGGAUUGGUUUCCGUAGCAGUCUCGACUAGCUAAACGCCCCUACCUCACGCGUCGAGAGGUAAACACACGAAACCCUAGUUUCGAUUCAUCUUCGUUUAAACCUAUGUAUAUGUAUUCAUGUUUGUUUCGUAUGAUUUUAUGUGAUUAUGUGUAAUUGAUUUAAAUCAUUGCGAGCAUGUUAUUUGGUUUAAACGCGAGCAUGUUAAUUGUUUUUAAUUCAGUUAAAUAAUUAGCAUGUAUGUUGUUAUUUAAUUUCGCUGGAAGCGCAAAGGUACGCAAUUAAUUGAUUUAAUUUGUCGGGCAUGUACUUGUGUGAUUUAAAACUCGUUUAAUUCGCAUAAAACUUUUGUUUUCCGCUGCGUAUGCGUGCCCGAAACCCAACAGUGGUAUCAGAGCUCGUUGCGUAAUUAAUUGCGUUGUAUAAUAUGCUGUGAUUUUAUGCAUGUUCGAUUUAUUAAAGUAGUGAUUGUCGUAUUAUGUAAUUGGGAGUUUUCGUAAGUUUAAAAUAUUUUUGAAAUAUUGUUUAGAGUUUUUCCAGCUUUAAAAUUGUUUAAAAUUGGAAAAUCGGAUCUGAAAUUGUUUUAAAAAUGUCGGUUUUUAAUUAUUCGGAUCGAACCGGUCGAACCGGCCGGUUCGAUGGUUGUGCACGAUUUAGUUGACCGAAUCCAAGUGGAUUCGGGUCGGUCAGACCGGUUCCCGGUCCGACUGACCCGGCCCACUGAUUUGGGUCAGCUGGACCGGGCAGAACCGGACCGCUUCGGUCCGAACCGGUCAGACCGGUCGGCCGAACCGGUUCACUGAAAAAAAAAAAAAUUAAAUAAAAAAAUUUAUUUCAGAUUUCUAAAAUUAAACUUAAAACAAAUUGAUUUUAAUUUUUGGAAAAUUAUUUUCAAUUAAUCCCAAUUAGAUAAUUGGAUCGACAAUCAUCUAUUUUAGUAAAUAGGUGUUAGAUUAAUUAAAUUGAUUUAAAUUGUUAAAUUGAUUUCAAUUAAUAGAACACAUAUAUAAUAUUGAUUAUAAAUUCAACUUAAUUAAUAGUACCUCAACAUUAUUUUAAUGAUUUAUGCUAGUUGAGGUUCUAUGAUUAUUUUGAAAAACCCGAUAAUUAAUUAAUGUAAUUAAUUAUAUAAUUAGGUCGUAUGUUCCUCUUAGGACAAUAUGUGCUUCCAUAUACCUUUAGAGAACAUAGAUGUAGGAAUCACAUAGACCAAUCCAAAACCUUCUCAUGAGAUAAAACAUUUUAAUAAAAAUCCCUCAUUCUUUUAAUUAAGAAUCAUUUCAAGCUAUAAAGAAAAACCCAAUCUGUUGAGUUAUUUCUUUCCUUCUGCCAACGGUUGGAUUAUGUGUAGCCCUUUACUAUAGUGCAGUAAGCCGUGUUAGCGGGGAGUGCUAUGGUAGAGUAAGCUGUAAUUCAAUUGACAUAAUGAUGAAGGUAGCCGUAGAAAAGGGUUAUGUUGAAUUAACGUGGUCGGCUAGAUUAACUAGGGACUGCAUUAGUUUGGCAUAAUCAAGUUCUAUGAGCAUCUUUGAUUGGUAGGUUAGACUUGACACACGACGAUUUUGAUAUUCGCGAGAUUAACUUAGGUCAUUAUCAAGUGUGAGGAAAAUCAAUUUAGGGUCAUAUUGUGGAUAUGAUUGAUUGUGAUCUACCUUUGGGCAAAUAUAAUCGGGCUAGAUUAACUACGGGUUAUAUUUGUCUAUUGGACCUAAAGCCCAUUAAGAAAAAUCAGUUUUCUCGUUUGUCUACUAGAGGGAAGUGGAACUCGAUAAAAUUAGUGGGAGAACAAUUAAAUAACAUAAGUCCAAACAUUUAAUUGUAACAAUCAUUUAACGCGAAUCUCUAAUAAUCCUCUUCUCUAUAUGUCUCAGAUAAUCAUGUCUAAGAAUCCCAUAAUGUCAAUCCUCGACAAUAAACUCAAUGGCCCAAAUUACUUAGAUUGGUUGCGUAGUCUUAAGCUUGUGCUAACUGUUGAGGGGCGUCUCUAUGUUUUGAACGAGAGGCUUCCCGCCACUAUACCUGCCACAGCGACUGAUGCUGAAAAGGAAACUUAUGAAGUUUGGAAGAAAGAUGACACUCAUGCUAGGUGCUAUAUGAUAGCCGCCAUGGAGCCCGCGCUUGCGAGGAAAUAUGAGUCUCACUUGCAUGCUUUCGAUAUAAAGGCUCAUCUCGAUAGCAUGUAUAGUGAGAAUAUUAGGGCAUCGAGGUACGCUGCUACAAAGGAGUUGAUCACGGCGAGACUGCGCGAAGGGACUUCGGUCCACGAGCACUGUCUCAAAAUGAUCACUCUCCUUGAAAAGCUAGUGAAUCUUGAUGUCACCCUCCCGGCCGAGCUCUCGUUGGAUUUGAUCAUGUUGUCUCUUCCUAGUUCCUAUGAAUCGUUCAUAGUGAACUUCAACAUGAACAAACUAGAUCCUCCCUUGGAUGAGUUAAUGAACAUGUUGGUCAGCUUCGAGUCCACCAUUAAGAAAGAGAAGUCUGUUCUCAUUGCUGCUACUUCUGGAAACAAAAGUUCUUUCCAAAAGAAGAGAAAGGAAAGAGUUCCCUUCCCAAACAGCAAGUUCGAAUGGGUGAAGGUAGUGGGGGCCCCAAAGCAAAGGUUGGUAAGCAAGUUGAUGAUGCUUGCCAUCACUGUGGAAAGAAAGGACAUUGGCGCCGCAACUGCAAGGCUUACCUAAAGAAGAAAGGUUCUGAAAAGGGUACGUAUUUCAUUGACGUAAAUUUGUCUGUCAACUCUUCUUCUUGGGUAUUGGAUACGGGCUGUGGCUCACAUUUGUGCAAUGAUUUGCAGCUAAUGACAAGAAGUCGAAGACUUAGAGCGGGUGAGACCUACCUAAGGAUGGGGAAUGGAGCAAGAGUUGCUGCUGAAGCCAUUGGCACAAUUUACUUAAAUGUUUUGGAUUCUAGUUUUCCUAUUGUUUUGAACGAUUGUUUAUUUGUUCCGUCGCUCAUUAGAAACCUUAUUUCUAUUCCUGUAUUGGAUAUUGAAGCUUUUACUUUUGUUUUUGGAAAUUCGAUUUGCAUUAUACAAAAGAAUGAGAAUUUAAUUUGCAAAGGACGACUAUUAAACAACUUGUAUGAACUAAAUCCAAAUGAAAUACCUAUUAAUGUUAUAUCAGCAAAACGUAAGGAGAUAGAUCAAAACCCCGCACAACUUUGGCACGCUAGAUUAGGUCAUGUCUCUUUAAGAAGGAUGAACGAUUUUGUCAGUGAAGGAUUGUUCUCUUUGGAGGACGUGAAAUCACUACAAACUUGUGAAUCUUGCCUUAAAGGGAAAAUGACCAAGUCACCCUACAAAGGGAAAAUGGAACGAGCCGAGGGUCUUUUGGAUUUGAUCCAUACAGACGUAUGUGGUCCACUAAGUGUUAGUGCGAAGGGUGGAUAUAACUACUUCGCUACCUUUACCGACGAUUAUUCUAGGUAUGGGUAUGUGUACUUGAUGAAGUACAAGUCUGAAACAUUUGAAAAGUUCAAAGAUUUUAGACACGAAGUAGAAAAGCAACUCGGACGAAGUAUUAAGAAGCUACGAUCCGAUCGUGGUGGAGAAUACUUGAGCAUCGAGUUCAUUGACUAUCUAAAAGAGAAUGGGAUACAAUCCCAAUGGACUCCACCGGGAACUCCUCAACUUAAUGGAGUGUCCGAACGUCGGAAUCGAACUUUAUUAGAUAUGGUUCGAUCAAUGAUGGGGUUCACAAACUUACCGGCAUACUUGUGGGGUCAUGCACUCCGCACUGCCGCGUAUUUGCUGAAUAGAGUUAACACCAAAGCAGUUAAAUCCACACCUUAUGAACUUUGGCAUUCCCGGAAACCCAACUACAAACAUAUUAGGAUAUGGGGUUGUCCCGCUUAUGUGAAGCGAUUAGUGGGAGAUAAGUUGGAUAGUAAAUCCGACUUGUGCUAUUUUGUGGGGUAUCCCGAAGACUCGAUGGGAUACGAGUUCUACUAUGUCAAAGAAGCAAAGACGUUUGUUUCGAGAAAUGCCACCAUUUUGGGAAGGGAGUUUCUAUCCGAUAGAAAAGGCAGCAUGAUAGAACUUGAAGUAGUUCAAGAACCACAAAGUGAAGUUCAAACGCAAGAACAAGUAAUCGAACCAAUACAACAAACCACUAGUAUACCUCCUGAACCUACGGUACGUAGAUCCGAAAGAGUUCGGAAAAUGCCGGAUAGGUUAUUCCUCCUCGAAAAUGAUGAAGAUCAUGUUGAUCUUGGAUGAGAUCCAAGAACAUACAAUGAGGCCGUAUCGGAUGCGAACAUGGGACAUUGGCUAACUGCCAUGAAAUCCGAAAUGGACUCCAUGUACUCCAACAAGGUAUGGACCUUGGUAGAUCCACCCAAAGGAAUUGUUCCUAUAGGCUGCAAGUGGAUCUAUAAGAAGAAAAUUGGAGUUGAUGGAAAGGUAUCGACCUAUAAAGCUAGAUUGGUAGCAAAAGGAUACACUCAAAGGCAAGGUGUUGACUAUGAGGAAACUUUUUCGCCAGUCGCGAUGCUGAAGUCCAUUAGGAUUUUGCUGGCCAUAGCUGCGUGGUACGACUACGAGAUAUGGCAAAUGGAUGUGAAGACCGCCUUCCUUAAUGGAGAUAUUGAGGAAGAAAUUUACAUGGCGCAGCCGGAAGGCUUCAUAUCUUCUGGAAGUGAGCAAAAGGUUUGCAAGCUCCAGCGAUCCAUUUAUGGAUUGAAGCAAGCAUCCCGUAGUUGGAACAUUAGGUUCGACUUAACUAUCAAAUAGUUUGAUUUUGAGAAGAAUCCGGAGGAACCUUGUGUAUACAAGAAGGUUAGUGGGAGGGCAGUAGUAUUUCUAGUGCUUUACGUUGAUGACAUUCUACUCAUUGGGAAUGACGUAGGAAUGUUACAGCAAACGAAAGCAUGGUUGUCCACACGUUUCUCAAUGAAGGAUUUGGGAGAAGCAUCUUAUGUAUUGGGAAUACACAUCUAUAGAGAUAGAGCAAGAAAGAUGCUUGGCUUAUCCCAAAGCCUGUACAUAGACACCGUUAUGAAACGGUUUAGCAUGGAAGAAUCCAAGAAGGGAUUCUUGCCAAUGUCCCAUGGGGUUCGUCUCUCGAAAUCUAUGUGUCCCCAAACACCUAGUGAAAUCGAGGAGAUGAAAAGGACGCCCUAUGCUUCUGCCAUAGGAAGCAUAAUGUAUGGCAUGCUAUGUACGAGACCCGAUAUUGCGUAUGCUGUGAGUGUCACAAGCAGAUAUCAGUCUAACCCCGGCCCGGCUCACUGGAAAGCCGUGAAAGAUAUCCUCAAGUACUUGCGAAGGACUAAGGAUAUAUUUUUGGUCUAUGGGGGUGCCGAGUUGAAAUUAGAGGGUUUCACUGACUCUAGUUUUCAAUCGGACGUGGACGACUCAAAGUCUCUAUUUUUGGUUGAGUGAUCAACACAUUAAUAUUAUUAUCUAAUACAAUAAUAUUAAAAAAAAUCCUUUUUUCAUGUGUUAACCGGUUAAUACAGUAAGUCAGUAAUAUUAUUGGGUAACGAAGUAAAAUUACCGAGUAACGCAGUAAUAUUGAUUUAGUAUUUUUUUUUAAUAUUAUGUAUUAGACAAUAAUAUAGUAAAUUGACUCAUUAUGUUAAGAUGUGGCAACAUGACAUCACAUUUUAUCGACACACGUAAAUGGGGAACCAAAAGUGAAAAUUGUGCCAAUUUUUGGGGACUGAAACUAUAAUCAUCCCGAGAAUACGGCAUGAGGUAUGCCAAUUACAACCAAAUAAUAGGAUAUAUCAUAUAUGCUGCUAUAUUUUAUAUUAAUCGGAUGUCUGAAAAAAGCUAGCAUUCACUUUCAUAAUCGUAUAUAUGUUGUUAUUGACUAAACACCUUAGAUCAAAACCCUUAUAUUUGUCUUUGUUGUGUGUUAGUUAGAAGAUUAUGUAAAUUUCUUAAUUACUAUUUAAGAAAAAAAAUUGUUUUUUUGCAUAGAAGAUAAUAUAAAAGGAGCAACAAUUUCAGGACAUCCUUGAAAGCGCCUUGGGCCCAAAAUUCUCAGGAGCGGCCCAGAAUACAUCGUUAAAAACUAAAAAGUCCUAUGUACACGUGGCAUCCUAUACACACACUAUACUAAACGAAAAUAAGGAACAAAAACACUUGAAAAUAUAUCUAAACUAAUAGUGAAUGGUCCAAUGUUUCUUCAGGUGAGCUUGUAAGGUUCACAGUAAAUCCCCUGCCACCAAACACACGGCGCAUAAAUGCAUUGUCCAAUUUUCUCGAGUAAUAAUGGACCGAGUUGUAUGGGGAGCAUAGAAACAAGACUAAACGUGAAAUGUUUCUAGAGCUUAUCCGAUCGUCUUCUUCCAAAUCUUGUAUAGUAUAAUUGCUGAGAAAGGGCCGUAUAUUAAUUGUAGAGCUUGAAGGGCUACGAGGUUCCGAAGAAUGUGUAU